GCCGGCUUUUUACAGCAUAAAAAGCCGGCAAAUACGUAUCAUUGACAUGGCCAGAAAAACAACUAUACAAGAUUUCUGAUUUCCGAUUUUCCAUAUCUGUGUGGUUAGCAUAAGCAGAUAUACUUAGCUGUUUCAUUAAAAUGCUUAACCAGAAAGCAUCUUCAUCACUCCCUCUCUCUCUCUCUCUCAGAGUACCAACCACGUAGAAAAUUGAAAGACGUGUAUAUACAGAACAAAACAAGAACCCAUUUAAACUUCCUGUGACAUUCGUUCCCGUUGCCUGCGCAUGCGAGCUGCCCAUGACAUGUUCCCUUCUGCAUCCUUGUUCAUGCUUCUUCUCUUCAA
rnacentral:misc_RNA from 1 species